rnacentral:lncRNA from 1 species
UGUUAAUCCUAAGCAAAAUUCCACAGCAGGUUUUUCAAAGUAUGAUUUUUGCUCAUUGUGUAAAGAAAACGUGCUCAGGAGGAGACAGCACAGAGCUCACAGAGAGGACUGGCAUCUUCUGUUUUUGUUGCUCAUGUUCCUAGAGUUGUAAUAAGGGAGGACAGUAGCUGAAGGGUGUCUUGAUUUCAGCUUGAAAACGUUUAUCACUCAUUCACCUGAGAAGGACGGAGACUGAGCCAGGAGAAGCAGAACUGGGUACAUUCAUAACUGACUGAACAAUGAAAGUUUGUAAAUGCGGGAGGAUUAGUCAAUGUCGUUUUGGAAGGAAGUCUCCAGAAUGGCCUGCUGGACUCUGCUUUGGACUUUUUCCAGAACGACCUAAUUAUCUGAUUGGCAAAUCACAGAAAAUGGAAAUGGAAUCUCUUACCCUUUCAUUGACAGAAUCUGAGGCCGACAAUUUUCAGCAGUCUGAAACAACAGACAUGCAUGGAGGAGUCUGCGCUGUUUUGCUGUUCUUGUCACAGUGUCUGUCAAGAGGAGAGCUCAGAUACCUCAGGGAAAGCUUUCUGAUGGGCGAGCAUUUGAAAAUAAAAAGGCAAAGACAGACAUUGAGCAGAUUCACAAGGGAGAGGAAACCCCUGAAGAAAUUUGAGAAAAAUUAAAGCAGUAACAACGGAGGUGUUGGGCACAGGUUUAACCUUUGAUAAAAAUCGGGCAAGAACAACAAAUACAAAUAUUGGUGAUGAAAGAACUAGAAAUUCAAGUUAAAAUCAGCAUGAAUAAGGAUUCACGUGGUAUGAAAGCGGCAACCCAGGCCAUGAGUGAAUGCGUCUUGUGGACCAUUCAUGUGUGCUACAUUUACAAAGUGAUUGUAAUAGGUGGCUAUGGUUAGCAGGCACUACUCAGUGAUGUUCAGAUAAACAGGAAGUGGAAUCAGAAUGCUAUACCACACCGCUCAGUGUCAAGUAGCAGGCCAUAAUUAAGUGAUGCUGAAAUAAGAUAGCAAAAUAACCGACGUUAGAAUUCUGCUAGAUUUCUUCAGCAAAACGAUGAAGAG